rnacentral:rRNA from 1 species
AGUGAACGCUGGCGGUAGGCCUAACACAUGCAAGUCGAACGGCAGCACAGUAAGAGCUUGCUCUUACGGGUGGCGAGUGGCGGACGGGUGAGGAAUACAUCGGAAUCUACUUUUUCGUGGGGGAUAACGUAGGGAAACUUACGCUAAUACCGCAUACGUCCUACGGGUGAAAGCAGGGGAUCUUCGGACCUUGCGCGAUUGAAUGAGCCGAUGUCGGAUUAGCUAGUUGGCGGGGUAAAGGCCCACCAAGGCGACGAUCCGUAGCUGGUCUGAGAGGAUGAUCAGCCACACUGGAACUGAGACACGGUCCAGACUCCUACGGGAGGCAGCAGUGGGGAAUAUUGGACAAUGGGCGCAAGCAUGAUCCAGCCAUACCGCGUGGGUGAAGAAGGCCUUCGGGUUGUAAAGCCCUUUUGUUGGGAAAGAAAAGCAGCAGGUUAAUACCCCGCUGUUCUGACGGUACCCAAAGAAUAAGCACCGGCUAACUUCGUG